CCUACGGGUGGCAGCAGUGGGGGAUAUUGCACAAUGGGGGGAACCCUGAUGCAGCGACGCCGCGUGGGUGAAGAAGCGCCUCGGCGCGUAAAGCCCUUUCAGCAGGGAAGAAAAUGACGGUACCUGAAGACGAAGCACCGGCUACCUACCGGCCAGCUGCCGCGGUCAUCCGUAGGGGGCAAGCGUUAUCCGGAUUUGCUGGGUGUAAAGGGGGCGGAGACGGCGAUGCAAGCCAGGAGUGAAAUCCCGGGGGCAAACCCCGGGACUGCUCUUGGAACUGCGUGGCUGGAGUGGAGGAGGGGAAGGCGGAAGUCCUGGUGUAGCGGUGAAAUGCGUAGAUAUCAGGAGGAACACCGGUGGCGAAGGCGGCCUGCUGGACUGCAACUGACGUUGAGGCCCGAAAGCGUGGGGAGCAAACAGGAUUAGAUACCCCAGUAGUC
rnacentral:rRNA from 1 species